UACGUAGGCAGCAAGCGUUGUUCGGAGUUACUGGGCGUAAAGGGUGUGUAGGCGGUCGGAUAAGUGUGGUGUGAAAUCUCCCGGCUCAACUGGGAGGGUGCGCUACAAACUGUCUGGCUAGAGUGCGGGAUGGGAAAGUGGAAUUCCUGGUGUAGCGGUGAAAUGCGUAGAUAUCAGGAGGAACACCGGUGGUGUAGACGGCUUUCUGGACCGUAACUGACGCUGAAACACGAAAGCGUGGGGAGCGAACGGG
rnacentral:rRNA from 1 species